AUCCUAGCUCCGGUUGCAGCUAAAGAAAGGCGAGAGGGGAUGGUCUGCGCUGGGACAGCGUCCCCCGUCCCCUCCAGCCCCCUCGGGCUCCUGGCUCGCAUCACACCCGCAACGGGCUGGCAAAGUUUCCUCUUUCUGCCUUUUGUAAUUUAGUUAAGAUUCCCAGCCCCAAGGCUUUGACAGAUUGGAGAAGUUUCCUGGACACAGUGGUGCUGGGGGCAAGCUGGGCACAGAUGGGAAUUCCUGGCGGUGUGAUGCUUUGCAUUAAAAACAAAAAAUCCUCCAAACUAUUUUAAGAUAGGAGCAGAAGCACUAGAUACAGGACUCCGCUUGAGCGGUUGCCCCAUCUUCCUCUUUUCGCCCCGCCGUGGUGGGCCUUGCCACACGUUAGGUGCCAGAUUCUUGCCCCUCCCUCAAUCCAGACGGAUUCUGGGUUGGGCUGCAGGGAUCCAGGUGAGAGACUGGACUUGCAUCAUUUACAGGCGGGUGGCAGGGAGGCCCAGGCAGCCCUGAGUCAGCCCGCGGCGGAGCAUCGCGUGCCCCAGAGGCUGGAGCUUGAAAGGCAACUUUACGCGUCUCCAAACAUACUCUUCCAUUUUCCCAAAGCGCUACUCGCCGCCGCGUUCUGUGUUCCCUUUACUCUUCAUUCAUCGGAUGGUAAAGGUCAAAAAAAAAAAAAAAAAAAUUCUCCCCAAACCCUAAAAACAGAACCCGAGGAAAUUCUCUCCAUCUCUUCUCCUUUCUUGCUCGAGCUCCCUCCCCAAGCACGGCCGGUGCUGGGUUGCCCUCGACUGCUUUCUCGCCCCGGCUUGCGGAAGCAGGGAGAAAGUUGGGCGCCGCUCGGAGCGCCUCUUCCCCCGCUGUGUGUGUACGUGUGCACGCUCACGUCUCCCCCGCGCCGAGGCCGGGGACAGGAACUGCUCCGGGCACCGUCAGUCCGACGGCGCAGCUCUGGGGGCUCGUGGGGCAGGGGGAGGGCGGGGACGCGAGCGCCGCGCCGCUCACCCGGGUCGCCUAGCUUUCGCCCCUCCCCCGCCGUCUCCACCCUCCUGCAGAACAGACAAAACUCCAGGAGGAACUGUCCCGGGCCAGGAUCUGCCUGAUCUCUACAGGGAGGCUCCUGGGGCCCCGAGCGGAGCCGCUCUGGCCUUGGAGCACUGUGGCGCUUUCUCUCUGAUGGGUUUGGUCCGAAAACUAUCCACUUUGCCUGCGUCUCUGGGCCAUGUGGCAGAAGACGGCCUCCCCUAACUGCGGAGUUUCGCAUCUCUACCCUCGAGAGACCCGCCCAGCGUAAGCUGGAGCCUCUCUGCUGUAAUUCCAAAUUCUGAAUAGCUCCCAGCUCCAGAGGGGGAAUCUGAUUGGCUCAGGGACACGGAUUUGCAACGUGUGCUCAGCAGCCAGUGACAGCCUCCCAUUCAAAGAGAGAAAUGGACGCUUUGGUGGCCGGCCAUUCUGCCAGAGAACCGAAGGUCGCUGCAGUUUGAUUUUUACAGACUCUGUACCACUCUUGCACUCCGAGGUGCAAGCUUGGCCAGCACAGCGAGGUCAUUUUCGGGGGAAAUGAAAUGGGAUGUCUACAGUAAACAGCAGAAUAAAUCAGACCACAUCUGUGUUACAAACAAAAGCAAAUGGUGCCUGCAUGUGGAGUCUGCAACAGCCAUUUUGCAACCAUGAAGGAUGACCUGCCACCGGAUGGGAAGACCUGAGACCUUGGUGACCAGCCCUGCCUCCCUUUGGACUGCUUGCAAAGUGGCAUAGUAAGGCCUGCAUUGUUUCAAACACCUUUCAUUCGAUAAUCCAUUACUUGUAGUCAAGAGUAUUCCAAGUGCUACGCAGGAUACCCACACACCAUGGAUCUGCCUCUAUCCCUUUAAAAUCCAUCCUGUUCACGGCAACAACAUUCUUUCUCUGCGAUGAGGCUUCAGUCAUGUCACCUUCCUUCCCUAAAGUUGGUGGGAGUUCCUGUUGAUCUAGCAAUUUGAGCAACAAUUUCCUGGCAGGUCUGGCUUGAAAGAAGAACCUCUCAGGGGAAGCCUGCAGCUAAUGAAGCCACCAUGAGGGCUACUACAGCCUUAAAAAUCCAUGUCGCUGUGUUCCACUGGCCGUAAGGGGCUGUUGGGACCCAGAGGGGUGAUUGUCACCCAUGCAUUAGAAUCCUCUGAAGGCUGGUUAAAAACACAUUGUUGGGUCUCAUCUCAGAGGUUCUGGCUCAGAUCUGAGGGAGUGUCAAUUCAUAGCCAUAUUUUGUACUUAUUCCCAGGGCAGUGGGGAUUUUUGAAGGGUUUUAAACAGCAGGGUGUUAUCGGCUUGGGGCUGGCUUUCCGACACACCCUGGCUUCCUCCACUCACUCAGAAAAUCACAGAGGACUCUCCCCAGUGCGUUCAGUGGGACCAGCCUUUAGUCACGAACAUGCUGAGUGCCUUCACAGGACCCUUAUAACCACACCAAAUACACCUGCAUUUUUGAACUCUAACCCGGCACCUUCUAUGUGCUGAGUCCUUUCUAGAUGAGAGCCUGCACACAUAUCUCCUCGUUUGCCCAACUCUAGGAGAUGGCAGAAAGGGUGUUGUAAACCACGUGCUCCAAAUGAGGACAGAGGAUUUGGUUGAAACCUCAAAGGAGAUAAGUGAGAAAACCAGGAUUUGGACUUAGGUCUAGUAAAGAAUACGUCUGCCAGUGCAAGAGAUACAGUUUGAUCUCUGGGUCAGGAAGAUUCCCUGGAGGAGGAAAUGGCAACCCACUCCAGUAUUCUUGCCUGGAGAAUCCCAUGGACAGAGGAGCCUGGUGGACUACAGUCCGUGGGGUCGCAGAGAGUCAGACACGACUCAGCAUGCAGCAUGCACGCUUCUUUUCCAAACGUGCUUCUCUGCCUGCCAUAGCCCAUUGCUUUUUUCCCCCGUCCUUGAGAGGUCCAGGCUGCCCCUUGGGGCCCCUGAUUGGCAUUCCUGGCAUCUGAUUUCCAGGAAGAGGGCAUCUCACGCUGACGGUGGGCAUCCUGAACAGGCAGCCCCAGAGAAUUCUCCUCUUCGUGCACACAAAUGGGAAUUUACAAAACUUUCUGCAAAGCCUGGCUAAGCCCUCUGCUGGAGUGUGAAGAGCACCACAGAGCCACGCCGACCAUGUCUGCCCCCACGUCUUUUGCCCAGUGGACACUGGCAGCCGCCUCCAAAGGCAGUGCCCUGGCCGUCUCUUUCAUCUCUUUUAAUGACAACUUCACGGCCAAACCAUUUUGGCCACCUUGCAUCUCCUGUUUGUGUUUAUGUGCAGUAUGCGCUGUACUUUUCUGGUGCCCAAAGGGGUAAACAAAAAACAACAAAACAAAACAAAAAACCCCUUGGCCUGUUUGAAGAAGGAGGGGCACUUGGGAGAAGACUCCUGGAAGCAUGUUUGAGCUGGCCUGUGAGAAUGUCUCUGAAUGUUUUCCGAUGGAGGCCUUGGAGGCCAAAAUUCCAGAGCCUUGAACAGGAAUAGUCAGUGGCAGACCCACGUGUCUUGUUGUUUCUGAACCUUGGACAACAUUAGGAGCAGCUGCUCCAAGCCAAGCAGGAAUGCUUUAUGAUGUGCUGACACCUCCGGCAGAUACCAGAGUGAGCACCGGUGCCAUCUCGAGAGGAUUCGAGUUUACGCCUUUCCCCUCUGCAGCCCCCGCGGAAUGCAGGCUUCCGGCAUGCCUGCUGCUGACAGCAAAAGGGGAACCUGCUAAGAGUCACCUUUGCCCGGGGUCUGGCUGUGCCCCACCCCAUUCCUCGAGGGUUUGGCCUUCAAAGGAGAGAGCAGGUCCUCCCCUGGCUGCACAUGCUGCUUCCCUGUGAUGUUGCCACGGCUCUGAUAGAGGUGCCCAGUGGUUACAGCCCAUUGGAGGGGGCUUCACAGUCCACGCAUCCAGCCAGCUCAGACUUGGGGUCCAUUCCACAUCUGUUGCUUUCCAGUCGUGGGACCUGGGCAGGCCAUCUUGGUCUCUUCACCCUCAAAAGAGGGCUAAUAGAGUAGCAAUCAGAUAGUAGCUGUUAUUGAUCAAGGACUUUGUUGCACUAGGCAUGGUGCUAAACUAUUCCUAUGGAUUAUUUAACUUGGUAUUUACAAGAUUCCCAUGAUGGGCCCCAUUUUACACAAGAGGAAAUGGGACUCAGAGAGGUUAGGAGGCUUGCCGAAGGUCACACAGCUGGCAAGACUGAAAUCUGCCAGAUUCAGGGCAGACCAUUACAAUUGACAGUCUCCUAGGUUUUCCUUUGAACUGUGGUGAGGAUCAAAUGCUACUCAGAUCAGUGUUCCUCAGGGCCUGGCUCAAGCUGCAGCCCCAUAUGUAUUAGUUUCUUUGCCCUGGGCCCACCUCCAGAGUUAAAAAAGCAGUGGUCAACACGGCAGCUGCUUCAUCAGCCUGGAAUCCUGAACCACAAGGAGUGGGGACCCUGCCAGCCUACAGUGGACAAGGGUGAGUGAGUGAGUGACGGUGACUCGUACCUGAGGAUGGGACAUCUAGAGACACUGUGCUGCCAUGAACAGACCUCAGAGAUGGGGGCUAUAGGAGGGAAGAGUCCAUCUAGGUUGGAGAUCAGACUCAUAAGGAAGCCUCCUGCUUCCCAAGGCUACCUUGGACUCCCACUUGGAAGAUGCUGGGAUGCAGCUUUAAUGGGCCCAUCUCACCAUACAACAUGCCAACAGCCCUGUAUGAUUUCCUGAGAUCAGGCCACCUCUGACUUACAGGAAUGACAGUCACCUUUAAUUCUUGGGCCCAGAAGGAUCCCAAAUGAAUUUAGAACAACUAAAGACUCUCAGUUCAGAAGGACACUUUAAAAAGCAACCCGUAAUUACAGUUUGGGAGCCAUGAAGUAGCCUGGAGAGACCAAAGCCUGUCCAGAAGAGACCAAAGAAAGAAUUCUGUUUACCAACUUUUCAUUUAUGCUCCACCUACUUCCAAAAAGAAUUUGAGGUGGCUGACUGGAGAAAGCAAACAAGAAUCCCAGCUCUAAGACUUUGCCCACUGCUAAAAUGCCCGAGAUAGAGUCACUAAAGUGGAUUGUUUUGCCAUGAGGAAAAAGAAACAGAUCAUGGAACCCAACACAUCACACGAAUGAAUCAGCUACAAUUAUGCAUAUACAUUGAGAAGGGAAACUAUUCCAGUGGUUCUUUUAAGCAUCACCAGGGAAUGGGAUUUUUAAAGCAAAUAUUGCCAUACUUAAAUAACUGGUUUGUCUCUUUUCUAGGCACUGAAAUUCUACUGUUAGAAUUCUUAAUGCAGAUGUUUCAGGGAGGCGAUAGUGAUGUAUCAGUUUAUUAGGCGGUUCCCAUUUUGACAGUCCAGUCAUGUCAGGAUGGCCAAGCGGUCUAAGGCGCUAGACUCAAGAUUCUAUCUUCCCAUUUUGACAGUCCAGGAGCGCAUCCUAAUUUGGGACAGAAGAUUUGAGAGUCUGGACUCUUGGUAAUGCUGGGGGAAAGACAGAUGGGCUGGGGAGGGGCACAGGUCAUGGUGGCUGACUGCAUGGGGUUGGGUUGGGGGGUUGGUGCUGAGAGUGGAGGACACGGUAAAAAGAAAAGGCGGGCAAAUGUGUGAGAGCAAGAAAGUGGCAUUUGGCGAGCAUCUAUUUUACAUUUAAACCUUUUAAAUGUUAUCUUUACGGCAACUCUUGAGAUCAGUAUUAUUAUUUCUAAUUUUACUAAGGAGGAAACUGAGGCUCAGAGAGGCAUAGUGGUGGGCCCAGGUCACACAGCUAGAAAGAAAGUCAGUCCUGGCUUGUUCCCAGCAUGGUUCAGCACCAGUGGCUCCAAAACUGUGCAAAGUGUUGACUCUUUAGCUCCUGAAAUUCUAGACCUGGGGACAGUUUAGGGAUUCUCUUGUUCAACCUCUUCCUUUGACGAGGGAAGCAAAAAAACAGAGACCCAAGGUAUCUUGACCUCUGGGUGAUCGCAGAGACUCAUUCUGAAACAACCCUAAAGCCCAGCUUCCUGCUGUUUGCUAAUGACCACACACUUGAGCUACCUGGACAGCUGCCACGACAGCCUUACACGACAGGGCUCCUGAAAACGCUCCCAGCCCGCCACCAUUUUCAAAAACGGAAAAUUUUCAGCAGCCACACCUGCUGGGAAGUGGAGUCUAUUUUGCGCUGGAAGCCACUUUAUUUACCAUGCCUAACCUUGGUCUGCAUCAGAGAACAUUCUUAAGGAUCUGGAGACACCGGGCAGGUCAAAGCUUGUUACAACCAGUGCCCGGGGCAAUGUGUGGCAGAGGGAGGGUGUAGUUCUGCUUCCUUAUGUCAGGUAUUUCCAGGCAUAAGUGGCCUGGGGCUUGCAAAUAUUUUUGACAUAGUGUGCUUUUUGUUGCUUAUGGGAUUCGAUGUUUUUUUUAGGUAAAUAUCAGCAUGAAUUCCAGGGCAAACAGAGACUUCCCUAUAUCAUUCACAGGUAAAUUAAAAUUAACAUCACUUUUACCAGUACCUAGUUGACAAACCCUGCUAAAUUUAGGCAGUUGUGUAUCAGAAAUCAAGUUGUUUAAAACCCACUGUGACAUAUAUGAAAUGGUUGAAUAUACUAAAUCAAAGGCAUGUGUCCAGUUCUUACUAGGGGGAAAAAGAGCAACAGAACAUGUACAUGUUCAGAACUAUACAACCAAUGGGCAAAUAAUAGCAGCCAAAGACUGCUAUUUUUUUAUUAUAUUCCCUGUGCUGGGCACUGUCUUCCCCACACAUUAUUAUUUAUUGGGAAGCAGUCAGACUGCCUGAGUCCAACUCUCAGCUUUGCCAUUUACCAACUGUAUGACCUAGGGCAAAUUUACUCACUGUCUUGUUCCUCCCCUUUCCUCAUCUGUAAAAUGGGGAUGAGAGUGGCCCCCAUCUAAAAGGCAGGCUUGUGAGGUGAAAGGAGAUUAUCCUCUGAAGGCAUUUAGCAGAAGAAUCGGCCUGGAAUCAGCACUUGUUACGCGUCAGCAGCUCUUACCUUUUGACUGUUAGAGACAUGCCAAGUCAGUUUCUUUAUCCUCAUUUUGUGAAUGGGUGCUGUGGGCUCACAGAGUUAACACACUGCCCAGAGUCACACAAAGGGUCUGGAGCAGAACUGGGGUUUGAACGCGAACCUUUCUCCCUGUGAAACUUAACUCAGGGGAGAGCCAGAGUGAGCCUGUGCACAAUUUCAAGCAGGCAGGUGGUGGCGGGAGGCGAGUGGUUUUGAGUAGCAGAGUCAUGAACAUGUCACUUCUCCUGGGGUUGGUGUGGGAUCUUCUGUUUCACAAAUGUAAUGAAAGGAAGCACAUUAGUGUUACCAUAAAAUUGCUUGGCUUAAAAGGAAUUACAUUUUGAAGGGAAAUAAAGAAAACACUUUACUGUUCUCAUUUGAUUUGAGAUGUGAGGUCCUUUGGGUAGAGCCAAUUACACUGGCCCUCACCCUGUCAGACCCAGUGACUCCUUCUUACAGGAAAUAAUUUUGUAAAAUCCCCUUUGCCAUCCUGAAAUGAAAUGUAUCUACACACAUAAUUCCCCCUCCCAAAUAAAUAUAAUGCCCUAUUGUAAUAGAAAAGAGAAAUUUUAUUUAAAAAAAACGAUUUAUGGUGAAAUCAUACAUGUGCCAAUAUCUAAAUGCCUGGGCAUGACCAGAUCAAGGGAUAUAGUUUAAGUGAUCAGAUAAGUGCUCCAAGCUAUAAUGACUACAUUUGUAUUGAAGAAAAGUAAGACAAUUAUUGACUGAAGAGUAUUAAAACUUCCUUAUGGUUAAUAAUUUGAAAAGAGUCAAUGAAGAAUGAGUGUCUAUUUCAAAUGUAGAAUCAUCUAGACAUGUAGACAGAUACAGGUAGGUUAUAUGGGUAACUCAUGUAACUCCGGCAACUUUUCUGUCUGUGACUUUUUUUUCUGAAAUGGCGAUUCGAAUCUUGGUAAGGUUCCAAAUAAAACAAAAUUUAAUCUUCUCUAAAUUUACACAGGAGUUACAUUCUGGGAAGCUCAGUGUAUAUUAAACUUUACCAAAAAUACUUUGUGUUUAUGUGUAAAGCUGAACCAGAUUCUGGGUUAGAUGCUUAUAAACAGGGUUUCACCUUCAUGUAUGUCUGAUGGAUCAUUCAAAAGUGUGUGGGAUUAUAAAUCAGAAUGUGAAGGGUGAAACUCUGAAACUCCUAGAAGGAAAAGAUGACUUAGCACCAAAAUUUAUUAACCUUAAAGGAAAAGUUAGUGAAUUUUACUCUGUAAAGAUUCUGGUUUCAUCGAUGACACUUUCAGGGGAGUGAAAAGACAAGUUGAUGACAGGCUAUCUGUAAUCCAUAUAUUCAUGGAAGAAGUCAUUCUGGGAAUCAUAAAGAAUUACAAAUAAGAGAAAAGGCAGAUUACAGCAGUAAACUGGGCAGAAGACUUGAGCAGAUACUUCACAAAAGAGAAUAUCCACAGCACACCCUCAAGAAUGGCUAACAUGAAAUAGACAGUUCUAAGUGUUGGCAAGGAAGCAGGGCAACAGGAAUACGCCCACUGUGGAGGUGGGAAGCCAGCUGCUACAACAACUUUGGAAAACUCCAGCAGGAACUACGAAGCCUGCAUAUAUACCUUUCUUGUGAUCCAGACGUCCACUCCUUGGUGUCUGCCUAGGAGAAAUGUGUAUGCUUAUCAGUCAAUAAGUGUGAGAGGGUAUGUUUGAGGCAGUGCUACUUCUUGUGGCUCCGAACUGAAAACAACCCACGUGCCCAUCACGAACUCUAUGCAGCAACACAGAGAAGUCUCACAGACAUGACAGCGCGUGAAGAAGCCAGACACGGGAGUACGCGUGGUGUGACGUCAUUUCUAGGAGGUUUAGAAUAAAAAAGGAGCUCCUUAGAAGUGUCAGAAGUCAGGGUGGUGGUUACCCCUGGUGGAUGGUCCUGACUGUAAGGACCCGAAGGGUUUGGGGUGCUGAUAUUCCUCUGGUUUUGGACCGAGAAUUGGUUACAUGGAUGUGUGCACUUAGUGAAAAUGUAUGGGGUCUACACUUCUGUGUUUGUGCCAUAGUUCAACAUGUUUCCAGUGAAUAUUGCAAAAAGAAGUCAGCUGCUAUCCACUAACAUCGCGGGCUCCACCCCCGUCACUGGAACAGCUGAAGAUCCCUCUGUGAGAAACACUGGCCCAAACAAAAGGGGUUAAAACAAAAGAAGGGGGAAAUUCUCUACACAGGAAGGUAACAGGGGUGUUUCUGAGCCCAAAGAACACACCGUGAGGUUAUGGCCACAGGUGGGGAACUGAGCCAGCAGGGCCCCAGUGAGCAGGUGGGAAGGGCCAUGGUUCUGGAGGCCAGCAGGUGCCAGCGAGCACCCAGGUCAGGGCCCCGUCCUUCCCCCGCUGAGACGGUGUGUGGCCCCUCCCCCAAACCUGGAUAUGGAGGAAUCUCGUGGGCGUCAGCCAGCAGAGCACACGAGGCAGGUGAGUUAGAGCAAAGUCUUAGACCCGUGCCUCCCCAGGUGUCAGCCUUUCGAUAAUGUUGCUGGAUUGUGUGAGUCUGAGGGUUACAGGGAGCAAAGGGGGCCAGAGUAGGAGUACAGUAGUGGGGCUUGAAGCAGUAACUGUUUACAACCUGCGUGGCAGUGUUUAUUAUUUAUCAGCCAGUACAAGAAUGUCUUUAUAUACUGGCUGAAGGUCAGCCUAGCCUGAGCACACUAUCCAGAUGAGAAUCAGAGGGAGGUCAUCUGAAAGACAUUUUUAUCCAAGAGACACGCAGGCAGCAUACACUUCUCUCUUAUAAACAAUUGUACAAACCACCCGAGAAACAGAACAUCCUGGCCCACAAAGUGGACUGAGGCCGUUCACAGGACGUCGAUUCCACAUGGAGAGAGAGGAGAAGAGGCAUCUCAGCUGGAGGUCAGUCCAGGGAGAGACGGUCUCCUGAUUAAGUUCAUAGCAGCUGCUCUGAAAGCACUGCACCUAGGCCAGCAGUAGUUUAUAGACAAUCAUGCUGAUUUCUCUCUCCUUUCAAACAGUUCUACAGGACUGGUGUGGUGCUUCCAUGGUCAAAGGGGUGCCAGAUUCCUUCACUAUUUCUGCUUCCCCAUCUUUAGCUUUUGCUUUCAUCCUCUAGUUUGUCUCAUGGCCCAAAGAUGCUGUUGGAGUUCCAGCUAUCUCUUAUGCAUUCCAGAAAGGAGGAUGGAGCGGAUGGGAAAGGGAUACUCCAUCUAGCUGACUUCCUUCUAAGGGACAUCCUUGAUCUUGCCUAGUGAAGACUUGGAGUAAUUUCCAGGGUAUCACAGGGAAAGUGAGAGCAAGUCCUCAAGAAAACAGAGAAUCAGAGAAGCCUUCUAUGCAGUCAGAUCUGGAGCAGGCAUUUUGCAGAACCCAUUGGGGAAAAAUGUGUUUUUAGAAAUCAACAGUUUAUUACUCUGAGCUGGGAGCACUGGGAGAUGCAAUUAGUAUCAAGACCUCUGGGCCCACAAAGCAACUGGAGAGGGUAAAGGGCAGAAGGUUAGGUUUAGUUGAGUCUAGAUGCUAGAAGAGAAAGAGGAUCCAGCCAGGUCAGAACAGCGAGUGGCCUCCGAAGCACCUGUCCAGGUGCUCCUUGGUGCUUCUUGGUGAUGAAGGUCCUUGGUGUUCACUGAAUGCCAGUUCACACCAUGUGACAUAUGCAUCUGUGUCCAGCCUAUUCUUGGAGUCCCUCCUGUGGCCUUGCCUGAGAUCCCCAGGACUCCCAGACUCAGGGCAGUAGCCUCAUUGCAAAAUUUAAUCUCCAAGUUUAACCAACGCAAACACACAUUCAUCCAGCGGUGGAGAUGUGAGGCUGAGACGCUCUGGAGCCAUGGGGAAGUCACACAUGUGGCUUCUUCUGAUGGCUGAGCAUGCAGACAACCUUCCCACCCAAUGCUCUGGGCAGCAGAGUCGGAAUCCAGACCCACAACCAGGCAAGUGCAGGAUGUUCUGGACAGCCUCUCACCCCUCCGCUGCCCCCUCUCCAGUCCCAUGAGUUUAUCGUUUAAAUCAGAUCUGUAAAGCAUCUACUGAAGAUGCAAGCAAUGUUCUGGGUGCUGGUGGGCAGGUCAGUCCCUGCAAAUGCGGUGCCCAGGCAGGAGUCCCAGGGGAGGACCCUAUAUCAUAUGCUUAUCAGUUAGGAGUUCUAAUCAAGCUACCAAGCCAUUAAGAACAGUAUUGCUCUAAAACCUUCUCUCAACAAAUGUGCUUUCCUAACUGUCUGCCCUGUGGUGAGACAAUAGGGCCUCCUGAGAACUGGGGUCAGCAGGAAUGUAUGCCCAGUCCAAAGAGGGCAAUGCCCCAGUGUAUGUCCAGCCCAAAGAGGGCAAUGCCCCAGUGUAUGCCCAGCCCAAAGAGGGCAAUGCCCCAGAGCUCCAGAAAGGUUUCCCAUGUGAGGAUAUAGGCCUUUCACCCCAUUUUAUAUGCAAAGACAGAAAUGUGGAUUUUAUGUGAAAUCUCCCAAUUUAAAACAAUGACCACCCCCUAUUCAGUUUAUAAGACACCAGGAAGCUGAACAGAGGACACGUGGGGCCCGUAUCUGGCCCACAGGCUGCUCUGUUGCCAGUUCUGUGUUGCCUGCCUCUGAGUAGAUCCCAAUGGGCUGGAGUCGGUGGUCUGCAUAGGUUGAUUUAUUGUAUUUUCCCCAUCCGGUCUCCAGAAUUAUUAAACUUCACGCUUUUUCAAUGUCACCCUGAAGCCAACAGCCGACUGUGCAAGGAUAAAAAAGAAAAGAAAAAGGGAUCAGGGAACUGAGGUGGACUCCAGAGACCCCAGACGGUCCGCCCAGAAGCUUGGGAGUUCACAGGUUCCCUUCAGCCCUCAUCUGAGGAGGUUCGGAGGUUCGGAGGCUCACUCACCGCCUGCAUCUCAGACUCCGUGGAGCGGCGGCGCUGACAAGGAGGGGUUGCGUGUGCCCUCUAGUGGACAGAGGGGGCACUGCCGAAAGCCCACAGGCUGGCUGGGGGCUUGGAGAGCUCCCUGGGGUGGGGGUCGAGGAAAAUGAUCUCACCUGGGCCCCAGGGGUUGAAAUAGCCUGGCCUGGUGCCAGUUCAGUCAGUCAGUUCAGUCGUUCAGUCGUGUCCAAGUCUUUGCGACCCCAUGGACU